rnacentral:lncRNA from 1 species
CUUUUUCUUUUCCUUUUUUUUUUUUAAACAGGAUGUCACUCUGUGGCCCAUGCUGGAGAGCAGUGGCAUAAUCACGGCUCACUGCAGCCUGGACAUCUCUGUGCUCAGGUGAUCCUCCCACUUCAGCCUCCCCAGUAGCGGAGAUCACAGACAUGUGCCACCACGCCUGGCUAAUUUUUUGUAGAGACUGGGUCUGGCCAUGUUGCCCCAGGCUGUUCUUGAACUCCUGGGCUCAAGCCAUCCUCCUGCCUCAGCUUCCUGAAGUGCUGGGAUUACAGAUGUGAGCCACUGUGCCCAGCCAGUAUCUUCAUGUUUAUAAUAUUUUAUAGUAUCUUCAACUAUAAAAUGGGGAUAAUGGUCACCUCAAACAGCAGUUGUGGAUUUUGGAUAUUUUAUAUCAGUUUACAGAACAAAAUAAAUAUUUGAA